GACGAACGCUGGCGGCGUGCUUAACACAUGCAAGUGGAGCGACGAAGCGGGCUUCGGCCCGUGGCAGAGCCGCGAACGGGUGAGUAACACGUGGGUAACCUACCCCGAUGACCGGGACAACCCGAGGAAACUCGGGCUAAUACCGGAUGUUCUCGCUUCUCGUAAGGGAAGCGAGCAAAGAUAGCUUCGGCCUUCGCAUCGGGACGGGCCCGCGGCCCAUUAGCUUGUUGGUGGGGUAAUGGCCUACCAAGGCUGCGAUGGGUAGCUGGUCUGAGAGGACGAUCAGCCACACUGGGACGGAGACACGGCCCAGACUCCUACGGGAGGCAGCAGUGGGGAAUCUUGCGCAAUGCGCGAAAGCGUGACGCAGCAACGCCGCGUGGGGGAAGAAGGCCUUCGGGUUGUAAACCCCUUUCAGUUGGGACGAAGCUUCGCCGGUUAAUAGCCGGCUGGAGUGACGGUACCUUCAGAAGAAGCCCCGGCUAACUACGUGCCAGCAGCCGCGGUAACAC
rnacentral:rRNA from 1 species